GAUAGGAUGGUGACGCGUUCGGGUGGUCAUCCAAUCGGGUGGUCAUCUGAUCGGACGGCCACUCUGGCCAAUCCAUCUUUCCCGUUUUCCCGAUUUUGAUUCGUUUUGCGCGUUAGGUUAGGCAUUGCGUUGCGUAUAGUUUAUGUAAAGUAUCUAGAUUACGUUACAACCCAAAAGUUUCCAAGUUUCAUAAAUUCCGCCAGUGACAAGGCUCCUGUCUCUCGUUCAACCAAGAAUCAAGUUUCACGAGUCUAAGGAGUCAAGCACCAAUUUAAGUCUCAAGAGUCAAGAAUCAUAGUUUCUCAAGCAUCAAGAAUCAAGAGUCCAAGUAUCAAGUAUCAAGAAUCAUAAGGAAUCAAGAAUCAAGUAUCUAGUUUAAUCAUCAAGAAUCAAGUGUCUAGAUUAAGCAUCAAGAGUCAAGUAUCUAGAUUGAGUAUCAAGUCUCAUAGUUUAAGUGUCAAGAAUCAAGCAUCUAAAAUAAAGAAUCAAGCAUCUUAGUAUCAAUAAGAUUUAUACCAAAAGUAUCAAAGUAUUAACAUCUCAUAACUACAGGGACUAAAACUAACAAUUUAUAGGAGUUCAGGGACUGAUCUUGCCAACUGUCUAAGGUUUAGGGACGCUGGGCGUUACAGUCUCCCCUCAUUUAGGAGAUUUCGUCCCCGAAAUCUUAGAAGAAGACUGCUCGAAGAGAUGCAGACGCUUGACAGUUUGAUCCAUGAUUUCGACCGGUUUCUCCACAAACUGAACAACUUCGUUUAUUUGCAAGUCUUCAAGAGGAGCCUGCAGUCCCUUGUUUGCUAGGCAUUUACAUAGAUUAGAUACGUGGAACACUGGAUGCACGUUGUUUAGUUCUUGGGGCAAGUCGAGUUUGUAUGCUACCUUGCCAAUCCUUUCAAGUAUCACGAAAGGACCCACAUAGCGAGGAGAAAGCUUUCCCUUCUUCCCAAAACGAACUACUCCCUUCCAAGGAGAUACCUUGAGAAGAACUCGGUCACCAACAGCAAAUUCCAGAGGCUUCCGCCUAUUAUCAGCAUAGCUCUUUUGUCUGCUCUUAGCCUUGAUCAAGUUAUCACGGAUUUGAAGAAUCUUGUCCGUUGUCUCUUGAACAAUCUCAGGGCCAGGGAACUGCUUUUCCCCAACCUCAUUCCAGCUGAGAGGAGACCGAUAUCUUCGCCCAUAUAAAGCUUCGAAAGGAGCCAUGUGAAUACUGGAAUGGUAGCUAUUGUUGUACGCGAAUUCUAUCAAUGGUAAAUGUACAUCCCAGUUACCACCAAAGUCGAUGACACAAGAAUGGAGCAUAUCCUCUAGGGUUUGAAUAGUACGCUCGGUCUGCCCAUCCGUCUGAGGAUGAAAGUCCGUGCUAAGAUUCAAGUGCGAACCCAUAGCGGAUUGAAACGUUUGCCAAAGAUGCGAAGUAAAACGACCAUCACGGUCCGAGAUUAUGUCAAGAGGUAUGCCAUGACGGCUAUAAUCUCAUCAGUAUAGACUCGAGCAAGUUUCUCCACUCUGUAAUCUUCACGGAUAGGAAGAAAGUGAGCGGAUUUGGUCAAACGAUCAAUAAUCACCCAGAUACUAUCGUGACCUUUAGAGGUACGGGGUAGUUUGGUAAUAAAGUCCAUAGCAAUGCUAUCCCAUUUCCAAACUGGGAUUUUGGGUUGUUCUAAGAGUCCAGAGGGACGCUGGUGUUCAGCCUUUACCUUUGAACAAGUAAGGCAUUUAGACACAUAUACAGCAAUGUCCCUCUUCAUGCCAGGCCACCAAUAAGUCGUACGCAGAUCCUGGUACAUCUUAUCGGCACCUGGAUGGAUAGAAUAACGAGAUUUGUGAGCCUCAGUCAUAAUGAGCUCACGGAGAUUAUCGCGAUCUGGCACCCAGAUGCGAUUUAGAUAGUACUGAAGACCAUCGGAUUUAGUUACGAGCUGAUUCACAUUAGCGCCAUGCACUUCAACAGUUAGACUUCCUUCAUUUGCUGACGAAAACUGAGCUUCAUGAAUACAAGCAUGCAGAUCACUAGAGAUACGAAUAGCCUUGAAAUGGGUCUUACGACUAAGGGCGUCGGCUACUACAUUCGCCUUGCCUGGAUGAUAGCGAAUUUCGCAGUCGUAGUCGUUAAGCAAUUCCACCCAACGUCUCUGUCGCAUGUUCAACUCUUUUUGGUCAAAGAUAUGCUGAAGGCUCCUAUGGUCGGUGAAGACCACACACUUUGUACCAUAAAGGUAGUGUCGCCGGAUCUUUAACGCAAAAAUAACCGCACCAAGCUCCAGAUCGUGAGUAGUGUAGUUUUUCUCAUGCACUUUGAGCUGACGAGAGACAUAAGCAAUAACUUUGUCCCGCUGCAUGAGCACACAGCCCAAUCCACGGUUCGAGGCAUCACAAUAUACCACAAAAUCAUCAUUGCCAUCAGGUAGAGUUAACAUAGGAGCGUUACACAAAAGGUUCUUAAGAGUUUGAAAGGAUUCCUCUU
rnacentral:lncRNA from 1 species